GCCUUAGUGGUGAAAUGGUAGACACGUGAGACUUAAAAUCUUGUUCUAAAGAUCGUACAGGUUUGAGUCCUCUUCAAGACA
rnacentral:tRNA from 1 species